UCACCUCCCCCUCUUAUCUUCUUGGGCCUGCGCUCAGUGUGAAUCCUUCCCUGACACACACACACACAUAUACACACACACAUAUACACACACACACACACACACACACACACACACACACACACACACACACACACACACGACCUGUUUCCGGCGGUGGCGCCGACAGAGGGCAUGCACUGUUACGGGUGACACCAGAAUCGCGUGCUGUGUUUCUUCAGCCUCUUUCUGCUGCAGCCCCUCCCCCUCCCCUUGGUUCGUUCUUCCACUUAGGUAAUCGUGCGCACGCCGGGUGCUCACCUGCUGCCGACUCUUGUGUUGUGGGUGUCUCGGUGCACACCGGCGAAGUGCCUGAUCGCUGCGAGCCCCCCGGACGUGCGUGUGCGUGCGUUUUGGCUCGCGCGCGGCCUGCAAGGCAACGCCGGCUUACCCUGACACACCGCCACACCACCGACGACACCGGUGGUCUCCUCUGCAUACCAAAGCCAAGCAUCUACGCACCUAUACACACUGGUAUCACCCUGCCGUCUCCCCCCCCUCCACCACCCCGUAUAGCGCGGAUGAGCUGCAGCGUCUGCACUGUCGGCGGGCUACCAGCUUCGUCGAUGCGCUGCUCCGGGACCUCUUUCUCGUGCGAGGGGUAUGCGCAGGAGCGCCUCGUCAGCUUCAGCAGCUCGAACACGACCCCACACCAGACGACGUCGAGGUCGACGGAGCCGGCGCAUCGGUGUGCGUGCCACUCGCGUCUUCCCCGGCAACUUUCGCGACUUUGUGGGUGCAUGAAGCUGGGCGCUACACGCUUGUGGCGGCGUCGCGCCGGGCUGCGGAAGCGACCCGUGUGCCUGUUCGUGGGUGUGGCUAUCUAUAUCAGCUGUUUGCUCGUGACGUGGUGGCUGUUGAGAUGGCUCAAGCGCUCGCACCAACCGUCGGAGGCACAACUGGUGCGCCGUCUGGGACCGCUUUCCCAUCCGUGGGCCGUGCUGGUGCAGCACGAGGGCGCCGUGGGGCGUCUGAACACGAGGAUAUUGGAGGAGGAGCGGCGUGCGCGGUGCGGUAGUGGCCCAGCCGUGAGCGUCGGUGCAUGCAACGAGUCGCUGCUUCUCUCUCCGCACAUGCUGCCCUCGUGGACACUGCACGUGGUGGAGAAGGACUGCGCAGACUGCACCGACCGACAGACGCACGACAGCGCUGUGGAGGGCGUGGAGUUGCAGCCACAGCACGCCGUGUACGCGACGUCGUCUGCACCGCUGGGCCGCGUCGGGCCGAUGCUGCUGGCGAUGACGAGCGUGACGGACGACGUGAAUGUGCGCACGGAGCUGCCGCAGUGGGAGUGGCUGCGGCACGUGUACGGUGAAGGGUUUCCGACCGUGGGUGGCGCUGGCGAGGGGGCUGCGCAGCCGCGGACACCGUAUCUUGCCGUGAUGGGCAUCCCGUCGACGGAUCAGCCGGCGCGUGCUGCGCUGCGUGAGGCACAGCGCAGGACAUGGCUGACGUACCAGGAGGUGGCGCGCACGGAGAACCACUUCGAUGCCGCGCUGCUGGCGCUGUACGUCUUCGCCGCGGUGGAGCCCAAGGUGGCCCCGAAUGCAUCAGAGAGCUCUUCAGCAUCCGCGCGCAACGGCACGUCAGCUGCCGAGCCGAGGCGAGGGCGCCUGAGUGCGCUGCUGCCGACGACGGCGGAGUACAAGGCUGCCACCGAGGCGCUUCUGGCGGCGACUGCGCAGGCCGAGGGCAUUGACGACUUGGCCGACGAGGGCAUUGUGCAGCGCCGGAUGGAGCUCCGCCGCGACUGGAACAUCGCUGCCGUCGAGGACACACCGUGUGCGGAGGUGGUCAGCCGCCGCGUGACUGUCGGUGCGGAGACGUCUGCGCUGUCGUACCUGAGCGGCGCCCUGUCGCUCCCCGUGACACCCGCGUUCACGUCGCCGGCGGAGUACGUCUGCCACGCGUCGUCUGCGCUGUGGCAGGAGGCGCUGACGCACCGCAACGUUGUGUGGAUCGACAUGAUGACGGACCGCCGGCCGACCACGAACAAGACGCUUGGCGACAUAGGUAACUGGGGCCUUCCCGUGGAGGUGGGAAUGAGCCAGAAGCUGAUCCUGUGGCUGGAGUACGCGUACCACGCCUUCAAGGAUGUGCCUUUCAUCAUCAAGGGCGAUGACGACAGUUACGUGAAGGUGCCGCAGUUCCUGAGCGAUGUGCGGUACGUAGUGAGCGGCGUACGAAAACGUGUGCCGCCGCCGGCUGCCGAUGGGGUGAAGGACAGCGCGUACGCGGUGGACGUGAACGCGACGGAGUGCGCGUACUGGGGCAGUAGGCGUAGUGUGGAACGGGUUCCUUUCAACGCCGGCAUGACGUUCAUGGUGCACAGGCUUCUUGCUCAGGUCGUGCUGGAGCCUCGUUUGAAUGGAUCGCAGCCGGAUGUGGUGUUGCUGUCCAUGGCCGAUUUCGACGUAGCGCUGUCGGACGUGUAUCGCUCGAGGUGGUUAACCGCGGAGGACAUCCUCUUAGGAAGGCUGCUGCGCGCUGACAUAAAGCGAGCGCAGGCGGUAUGCCCUAACCAUCGUGUGUGGUAUGUGAAGGAAGGUUUUGCUCGGUUCCACGACUUGCACCGCGGGAAGGUGCACAACGUGACGUGGUCGACGGUCGUGGCGCAUCGCUGCACCCCCGCUGAUUAUUAUUACUUGCACCACUUCUUCCAGAAGGAACUGGGUGCCACGCUGGCAGGGUCGAAACGAAAGAGCCGUGCUGAGAAGGACGCUGUGGCGCAGGCGGCGGAGUGGGUGGCGGAGAAGCGGCGUUCCACGGGGCCCGAGGUGGUGGGCUGGGACACCUUGCCAGAGGUGAGGUGGGUGCACGCGCUGAAGCGGACGCCUGCGUACGACAUGGCGAAGGCGGAUGGGGUGCCGGUGUAUCACAACAAGUACAUAAAAUGCUCGCACAAGCGGCUUGGUAUCGAGCACGGCGUCGUGUCCGUGCCAUAAGUGUACGGGAGUUCUCCAGUACUCGUUUGUAGAUCUGUCACACACUCUCUGCGUGGUGUUUGUGCGUUGUCGUUUCUGUAUAUAUAUAUAUAUAUAGAUGUGCGUGCAUGCCCGUGUGUAUGUGGGUUCGAUCUUGAGAAGGUGAGGAGUGAUUUGUGGCCUGCUAGUUCGUGGACGGUGGUGGUGCGGAUGCACCUCGCCCCUUCCUUUCCUUCUCUCUGGGUUCUUCCGAUGGUGUGCUGGCGGUUGUGCUCCGUUAAUAUACGUGACGCCCUCCGUCAUGAGGCGGUGAUGCACGGCCUCAGGAACAUCCAUGUGGGGUGCAUCACCUUUUUUUUUCAUUUGUCUAUCCGUCGUUUAUGGGUCUCGUCAACCGGGUGCCGUGCGCGCCUGGUGCUGUCUGGGAAGUUGCCUCCCCGACCUCUGCUUGUGUGCGCAGCGGCGCCGCACUGAUGAAGAGGUUGCGGCUUACGCUCCGUGAUGCGGGUCAGCGGUGCAGCCGGACGUCUAUUUCGUUUUCGCCACCGCUCUCUUGGCGCCCCUCUGUGGGAGCGCCAUGCAGGUGGUUCUGCGCCUCACCGAUAAUAAGGGAGGAGGGCUGGGGUCGAAACGAUAGCCGGCUGUGGUGGUUUCUGAUGGCGGUAGCACAGAUUGCCGUCGACUGUGACACAAACGCAUGAGAAGCGUGC
rnacentral:misc_RNA from 1 species